rnacentral:rRNA from 1 species
GGGUUGUGAGGUUAAGCGACUAAGCGUACACGGUGGAUGCCCUGGCAGUCAGAGGCGAUGAAGGACGUGCUAAUCUGCGAUAAGCGUCGGUAAGGUGAUAUGAACCGUUAUAACCGGCGAUUUCCGAAUGGGGAAACCCAGUGUGUUUCGACACACUAUCAUUAACUGAAUCCAUAGGUUAAUGAGGCGAACCGGGGGAACUGAAACAUCUAAGUACCCCGAGGAAAAGAAAUCAACCGAGAUUCCCCCAGUAGCGGCGAGCGAACGGGGAGCAGCCCAGAGCCUGAAUCAGUGUGUGUGUUAGUGGAAGCGUCUGGAAAGGCGCGCGAUACAGGGUGACAGCCCCGUACACAAAAAUGCACAUACUGUGAGCUCGAUGAGUAGGGCGGGACACGUGGUAUCCUGUCUGAAUAUGGGGGGACCAUCCUCCAAGGCUAAAUACUCCUGACUGACCGAUAGUGAACCAGUACCGUGAGGGAAAGGCGAAAAGAACCCCGGCGAGGGGAGUGAAAAAGAACCUGAAACCGUGUACGUACAAGCAGUGGGAGCCUCUUUAUGGGGUGACUGCGUACCUUUUGUAUAAUGGGUCAGCGACUUAUAUUCUGUAGCAAGGUUAACCGAAUAGGGGAGCCGAAGGGAAACCGAGUCUUAACUGGGCGUUAAGUUGCAGGGUAUAGACCCGAAACCCGGUGAUCUAGCCAUGGGCAGGUUGAAGGUUGGGUAACACUAACUGGAGGACCGAACCGACUAAUGUUGAAAAAUUAGCGGAUGACUUGUGGCUGGGGGUGAAAGGCCAAUCAAACCGGGAGAUAGCUGGUUCUCCCCGAAAGCUAUUUAGGUAGCGCCUCGUGAAUUCAUCUCCGGGGGUAGAGCACUGUUUCGGCAAGGGGGUCAUCCCGACUUACCAACCCGAUGCAAACUGCGAAUACCGGAGAAUGUUAUCACGGGAGACACACGGCGGGUGCUAACGUCCGUCGUGAAGAGGGAAACAACCCAGACCGCCAGCUAAGGUCCCAAAGUCAUGGUUAAGUGGGAAACGAUGUGGGAAGGCCCAGACAGCCAGGAUGUUGGCUUAGAAGCAGCCAUCAUUUAAAGAAAGCGUAAUAGCUCACUGGUCGAGUCGGCCUGCGCGGAAGAUGUAACGGGGCUAAACCAUGCACCGAAGCUGCGGCAGCGACACUAUGUGUUGUUGGGUAGGGGAGCGUUCUGUAAGCCUGUGAAGGUGUACUGUGAGGUAUGCUGGAGGUAUCAGAAGUGCGAAUGCUGACAUAAGUAACGAUAAAGCGGGUGAAAAACCCGCUCGCCGGAAGACCAAGGGUUCCUGUCCAACGUUAAUCGGGGCAGGGUGAGUCGACCCCUAAGGCGAGGCCGAAAGGCGUAGUCGAUGGGAAACAGGUUAAUAUUCCUGUACUUGGUGUUACUGCGAAGGGGGGACGGAGAAGGCUAUGUUGGCCGGGCGACGGUUGUCCCGGUUUAAGCGUGUAGGCUGGUUUUCCAGGCAAAUCCGGAAAAUCAAGGCUGAGGCGUGAUGACGAGGCACUACGGUGCUGAAGCAACAAAUGCCCUGCUUCCAGGAAAAGCCUCUAAGCAUCAGGUAACAUCAAAUCGUACCCCAAACCGACACAGGUGGUCAGGUAGAGAAUACCAAGGCGCUUGAGAGAACUCGGGUGAAGGAACUAGGCAAAAUGGUGCCGUAACUUCGGGAGAAGGCACGCUGAUAUGUAGGUGAAGCGACUUGCUCGUGGAGCUGAAAUCAGUCGAAGAUACCAGCUGGCUGCAACUGUUUAUUAAAAACACAGCACUGUGCAAACACGAAAGUGGACGUAUACGGUGUGACGCCUGCCCGGUGCCGGAAGGUUAAUUGAUGGGGUUAGCGGUAACGCGAAGCUCUUGAUCGAAGCCCCGGUAAACGGCGGCCGUAACUAUAACGGUCCUAAGGUAGCGAAAUUCCUUGUCGGGUAAGUUCCGACCUGCACGAAUGGCGUAAUGAUGGCCAGGCUGUCUCCACCCGAGACUCAGUGAAAUUGAACUCGCUGUGAAGAUGCAGUGUACCCGCGGCAAGACGGAAAGACCCCGUGAACCUUUACUAUAGCUUGACACUGAACAUUGAGCCUUGAUGUGUAGGAUAGGUGGGAGGCUUUGAAGUGUGGACGCCAGUCUGCAUGGAGCCGACCUUGAAAUACCACCCUUUAAUGUUUGAUGUUCUAACGUUGACCCGUAAUCCGGGUUGCGGACAGUGUCUGGUGGGUAGUUUGACUGGGGCGGUCUCCUCCUAAAGAGUAACGGAGGAGCACGAAGGUUGGCUAAUCCUGGUCGGACAUCAGGAGGUUAGUGCAAUGGCAUAAGCCAGCUUGACUGCGAGCGUGACGGCGCGAGCAGGUGCGAAAGCAGGUCAUAGUGAUCCGGUGGUUCUGAAUGGAAGGGCCAUCGCUCAACGGAUAAAAGGUACUCCGGGGAUAACAGGCUGAUACCGCCCAAGAGUUCAUAUCGACGGCGGUGUUUGGCACCUCGAUGUCGGCUCAUCACAUCCUGGGGCUGAAGUAGGUCCCAAGGGUAUGGCUGUUCGCCAUUUAAAGUGGUACGCGAGCUGGGUUUAGAACGUCGUGAGACAGUUCGGUCCCUAUCUGCCGUGGGCGCUGGAGAACUGAGGGGGGCUGCUCCUAGUACGAGAGGACCGGAGUGGACGCAUCACUGGUGUUCGGGUUGUCAUGCCAAUGGCACUGCCCGGUAGCUAAAUGCGGAAGAGAUAAGUGCUGAAAGCAUCUAAGCACGAAACUUGCCCCGAGAUGAGUUCUCCCUGACCCUUUAAGGGUCCUGAAGGAACGUUGAAGACGACGACGUUGAUAGGCCGGGUGUGUAAGCGCAGCGAUGCGUUGAGCUAACCGGUACUAAUGAACCGUGAGGCUUAACCUUACAACGCCGAAGCUGUU